ACACCAACCCAGAGAAUUGCUGGUGGAAGUACUGAUGAAUACACCAACAUCUCUGAGGGAAGUCAUCAACUGGGAGCAUAUGAGAUGGGCCAGCACAGACUUGGCUCAAAGACCCACAGACCACACUGUGUUACUGGAGAGCAACAGGUUUGAACAAACUCAGAGGACUAUGAUGUCAUGGCAGUUAUGAAAACGAAUGUGUCAGUGCUGUAUGUACUGAUAUGAAGCAAUCUCCAAGAUGUAUCUUCAGUGACAACAGCAUGAUGCAGAACGCUAGGCAUGAAAACAGCCCUGGAAGUCUGCCCUGGCGCCUGCACUGAGACUAAUCCAGGUCAUUUUAGGGAAACUGCCCAGCUCUGGCACCUCACUGUGUCUCAGUCAGCUCUGUGGGGUGCUAUGGCCUCAUUUUCCCACUAGAGGACACUGUGGCUCCAGGACUUCAUGUGGCUCCCAGCCAGUCUUGCUACUCCAGCACCUCUAAGGAGGCAAAGCCUUUAGUGUGCAUUUAUUAGGCACCAACUGGGUACUUUCUGUAUCAAGGAGAGAAAUAAAAGAGGUC